rnacentral:rRNA from 1 species
UUUGGUGAUUCUAGCGAGGCGGACCCACCCGUUCCCAUCCCGAACACGGCAGUGAAACACCUCAGCGCUGACGAUACUGCAUCCGCAAGGGUGUGGGAAAAUAAGUCAUUGCCAGGG